AUUGAACGCUGGCGGCAGGCUUAACACAUGCAAGUCGAGCGGGGUGAUGGUGCUUGCACUAUCACUUAGCGGCGGACGGGUGAGUAAUGCUUAGGAAUCUGCCUAUUAGUGGGGGACAACAUCUCGAAAGGGAUGCUAAUACCGCAUACGGCCUACGGGAGAAAGCAGGGGCUCACUUGUGACCUUGCGCUAAUAGAUGAGCCUCAGUCGGAUUAGCGAGUUGGUGGGGUAAAGGCCGACCAAGGCGCCGAUCUGUAGCGGGUCUGGGAGGUGGGCCCGCCACACGGGGACUGAGAGACGGCCCAGACUCCUACGGGAGGCAGCAGUGGGGAAUAGUGGACAAUGGGGGGAACCCUGAUCCAGCCAUGCCGCGUGUGUGAAGAAGGCCUUAUGGUUGUAAAGCACUUUAAGCGAGGAGGAGGCUCUUUUGGUUAAUACCCAAGAUGAGUGGACGUUACUCGCAGAAUAAGCACCGGCUAACUCUGUGCCAGCCGCCGCAGUAA
rnacentral:rRNA from 1 species